GGGCAGCCCGAGGGCAAGCCCACGUGCUCCCGGGAGGGCAGAGUUUGCCCCUCUCCCGGAUAGAGUUAAUAGCGCUUCAGAUUCCGUGCAGAAUCGGAAUCUGGGAAGGGGCGGAAGCGCACAGCUGCGUGAGAAGGGAGAAGAGCAAAGUGUGGCCCCUAAAGGGAAGACCUCGUUUCUAAAUCUGUCCAGGGAACUCGAGCUGAGGGCUCUCCAACCCAGCCUCCUGGAAUCCCACCUCCUCCCCAGAGCAAGGGGAAGGAGCACCUACUACUCUGGGGGUGGGGACAUCCUUGGGUGACCCUGAGUCCCAGCCUAGACUUCUGUGAGGAAAAGGAAUGGUCAGAAGAAAGUUCAGUGAAACCUACUGGAUGUCUCUUUUCUCUCUCCUGACUCACUAGCCCCAGAAUCCACCUUUGAUUCUUGAACUUCAGUUUGGUUCCAGCUCAGCAGAGACCCUUAGCUCAGGACCCUCUCCCAGAUUCAGCUCUACAUUUUUGUUGUUUCAAUAAAAAGGGAAUUCUCCCCUUGCCAAAC